AGUGAACGCUGGCGGUAGGCCUAACACAUGCCAGUCGAACGGCAGCACAGUAAGAGCUUGCUCUUACGGGUGGCGAGUGGCGGACGGGUGAGGAAUACAUCGGAAUCUACUUUUUCGUGGGGGAUAACGUAGGGAAACUUACGCUAAUACCGCAUACGACCUACGGGUGAAAGCAGGGGAUCUUCGGACCUUGCGCGAUUGAAUGAGCCGAUGUCGGAUUAGCUAGUUGGCGGGGUAAAGGCCCACCAAGGCGACGAUCCGUAGCUGGUCUGAGAGGAUGAUCAGCCACCCUGGAACUGAGACACGGUCCAGACUCCUACGGGAGGCAGCAGUGGGGAAUAUUGGACAAUGGGCGCAAGCAUGAUCCAGCCAUACCGCGUGGGUGAAGAAGGCCUUCGGGUUGUAAAGCCCUUUUGUUGGGAAAGAAAAGCAGCAGGUUAAUACCCCGCUGUUCUGACGGUACCCAAAGAAUAAGCACCGGCUAACUUCGUG
rnacentral:rRNA from 1 species